GAAUUGUUCUGCUCUACUUCCUAUAGUUGACAGUAAUAACACUCUUGAUACAGUCAACAAUCAGAUGACUGUACCUCCUGUUACUGAUAGUAAUAAUACUCCUGACGUACAUAACAAUCAGAUGGUAGCUUGUAGAUC